UGAUUUGGCUCAGUGGAUAGAGCAUCAGCCUGCAGGCUGAAGGGUCCCGGGUUCGAUUCCCAGUCAA
rnacentral:tRNA from 1 species